CGGCUCUAUCACCAAGGAUGGACAUAGGGCACUUGUCUCAGAUAUGUUUUAUUUGAGGAAACAACCAGGCAUCCAAUCUAGCCUUGAAGACAGAAGACUGCAGGAGAGGAAAGAGCUAAGAGCCAGAAAUGAGUCCAGAAGUUUCUGAGCUACUCCUCACCUUUUCUCAAGUCGGCUGCCAAGGAUGAGCCUGGAUGAGAAUGCUGUACUGAAAAAGAUAAACAGGGCUGAGCAGUCUUCAAAGCUUGCAAGGAAAGG